rnacentral:rRNA from 1 species
UGGGGAAUAUUGCACAAUGGGCGCAAGCCUGAUGCAGCCAUGCCGCGUGUAUGAAGAAGGCCUUCGGGUUGUAAAGUACUUUCAGCGGGGAGGAAGGGAGUAAAGUUAAUACCUUUGCUCAUUGACGUUACCCGCAGAAGAAGCACCGGCUAACUCCGUGCCAGCAGCCGCGGUAAUACGGAGGGUGCAAGCGUUAAUCGGAAUUACUGGGCGUAAAGCGCACGCAGGCGGUUUGUUAAGUCAGAUGUGAAAUCCCCGGGCUCAACCUGGGAACUGCAUCUGAUACUGGCAAGCUUGAGUCUCGUAGAGGGGGGUAGAAUUCCAGGUGUAGCGGUGAAAUGCGUAGAGAUCGGGAGGAAUACCGGUGGCGAAGGCGGCCCCCUGGACGAAGACUGACGCUCAGGUGCGAAAGCGUGGGGAGCAAACA